ACGGGUGAGUAAUGUCUGGGGAUCUGCCCGAUAGAGGGGGAUAACCACUGGAAACGGUGGCUAAUACCGCAUAACGUCGCAAGACCAAAGAGGGGGACCUUCGGGCCUCUCACUAUCGGAUGAACCCAGAUGGGAUUAGCUAGUAGGCGGGGUAACGGCCCACCUAGGCGACGAUCCCUAGCUGGUCUGAGAGGAUGACCAGCCACACUGGAACUGAGACACGGUCCAGACUCCUACGGGAGGCAGCAGUGGGGAAUAUUGCACAAUGGGCGCAGGCCUGAUGCAGCCAUGCCGCGUGUAUGAAGAAGGCCUUCGGGUUGUAAAGUACUUUCAGCGGGGAGGAAGGCAACAAGGUUAAUAACCUUGUUGAUUGACGUUACCCGCAGAAGAAGCACCGGCUAACUCCGUGCCAGCAGCCGCGGUAAUACGGAGGGUGCAAGCGUUAAUCGGAAUUACUGGGCGUAAAGCGCACGCAGGCGGUCUGUUAAGUCAGAUGUGAAAUCCCCGGGCUUAACCUGGGAACUGCAUUUGAAACUGGCAGGCUUGAGUCUCGUAGAGGGGGGUAGAAUUCCAGGUGU
rnacentral:rRNA from 1 species